rnacentral:rRNA from 1 species
AUGGAACCCUAUGUUGGCAUGAGGUUUGAUAACCUUCAAAUUGCUAAGGAUCACUACAACAGCUACGCACUACUGAUGGGUUUCUCUAUCAAGAUGAACACAUCUAGACGGACACCCCGCACCAAUGAAUUGAUAAAACAACAGUUUUGUUGUAACAAGUUCAAGAAGCCCAAAGCUGAUGAUGGAGGAGCUAAGACUCCUCCUCAGACUCAGUGCAAAGCGAAAAUGUUGGUGAAGCUGAUAGAUGGGCGAUGGGAGGUGACGCACUUUGUUCGUGACCACAAUCAUCCGCUCGUGAACAAACCUUCAUUGUCCAAAUACUUGAGAUCCCACCAAGCAUCUCACCUGAUGAAAAGGAGUUUCUGCGCAUCUUGUAUAACUGCAACUUGA